rnacentral:lncRNA from 1 species
GCUAGGAUCCGAUCUCCUUCCCGGAGACCCUGGCGCUGGGCAGAGGAGCCUGGAUCCACCCUGCACACCACAUGGUCAGCCUUGCCGAGCUGCUGCUGCAGAUGGAACCCAAAACUCUUUUCCUCCUCCUUGCUCAACAGACAGAAGCGAGGCCGGUGCAGGUUCCAGGGAUCUGGAGGAGGAGACUACUUACAGAGUUAACAAGGCCGUGUCCCGAAGAUCUGCCAGACGAAGGAAGGUGAGAACAAUGGAUCUCCAAGAAUUGCAAUUACUCUAGGAAUCUUAAACUGGGGAAGAGAAGAGGAAGCCUGGAUGCCAGCCAGAACUUGUCCCCCAAAAAGAGGUUUUGGACAACUUUUCAGACCACUAAGCUGGAUGGACUGCAACAGUCACCGAGUCCCAAUGAGACUGCUCAGUACACUAAAUCCCAGGGGCGGACCCUGAAGAUGAGCUUUGGGGUUGACACCGUCACCAGACCCAUUUAUCUGUUCCUCUUCCCAGGGUAGCCACCUCAAACAAAUCUCCUUUCUCUGCUU